CGCUGGUGCAGUUAAAAUGAGUAAAGUACUGGCGAUAUUGUGUCUAAAAUGAGCAGAAGGGACGUUUGGACCUGCUGCCAGCAGACUGUAACAGACAGAUGGGUUUUCACACAAACAACAGAAAACAUCAAGAGCAGUCAGCCUGGCACACACUGAAGAAGAAUCAGCAAAGGGGAGAAAGUCUGGAUAAUGAGGCACUGCUAGCAGGAGAUGAGAAUUCACUUUGUUCUGUGAGAAGACAAACUGUCCACUCCGUUUAGAGUUCAACCCCGUAGAUGCAAAGCCAUAUGGAUAUUUGGUAUACAAACUGUGAUCUGACUGCAGUGAAGCAUAAUAACCAGCAGAUGACAGGCAAACAUCAGAAUCCUUUUGACAUCGAGGCAUCAGAACAAUGAAGUUUUGCAAGCAAAGGACAAUACCAAGUAAGCACUGACAUCCAAAUAUGCA